GCCGCAGCUGUGACAAUGCCAAAGCCUUCAUCCUUAGGCCACCAGAGAACUCCUUUUUUUUUUUUUUCCCUUUGUUUUUCAGAAAAAAAAUGUUUUUCUUUUUUUUCCUGAAAAGUUUUUAAAAAGUUCAGGCUUCUAGAGUAGCACCUGAAUUGCUUUGCUUGACAUAGAAAGCUUUUCUCAGUCCUGCCUCCAUCUCCCUCUCACACAGGGCUCAUCACGGGCAAAACUCUCAAGUCACAUGUCAGAGUUUUCAAUCUCCCUCUCGCCGGGCUGGUCUGGUCCUGCUGCCACCGUGCCUUUGAGCGCACUGUCUCUGUACUGCUCCCCCUUUCCACAGGCCAACCUCGCCUUGUUUUUCUCUGUCUCAGCUUCUGUGUCACCUCCUCUAGGCAGGGCUACAUGUUUCCUUCCUCCGGGGGCCCGUCCCUAGCUUCCGGACCUUCCAGUGUGGUACUGGUCUCUUUGGAGUGUGAAGCACCUGUUGCCUCCCUUAUUCGACCCCGUAGAGAAUGAAGGUCAGGCCAGUUCAUCUCUGUAUCUUUGGUACCUCGCCCAGGGCCCGAUGCACAAAAGAAAACACAUGCGUUUAUUAGUUUUACGGUGAUUAUAAAUACGUGCCUGUACGCACAGGGGACUUUCGAGUUCUUUGACAACUUUUGUAUAUUUGCUGCCUGGGCCCAGUGCCCCUGAGGCCAGACACUGAUCACAGGUGUACUGUGCCCCCGUUCCUGGCUCAGCAGGUGGGGAUUUGCAGUGAAAUUCCACACGUAUUUUGUCAGGUCCGGCAGCAAUGUGACAUAGCCCCUGCCCUUGUGUUGGUCGCUCUGCUUUGUGAGAUCGGUGGCUCAUGGUGUUUUGGGUUCCAUGACAAUGAUGCUUGGAUCUCAGAAAGCCUAGGAUUACCCUAUGGCCCGAGUCUCUUAAAAUAAGGUAUUUGUAGAGCUAAUGACAAGGAUACACGUUCACUUCUCAGCCCUUGAAGGAAUUCGGCUCACAGCCACCGAGGAGAGAGAGGGGAAGGUUGGUUUGCCGUGAAGUUGGUCUCUUUCCUGUUACCUCAUUCCUGCUCCUCAAUGAUGGAUGCAUAUUUUAAAAUUCGUUUUAGAACCUGAGUCACCCCCCUCCACACAGCAUGACCAGAGAGUAGCCCAGACAUCUUUUACCAGGAGAGAGAGCCUGGCCCUGGAGCCGGACACACAUCUGGUUUCAGCUUUAUGGCCUAGAAGCUUGGUGACCUUUGUUUGACAAAGGGUGUAUAUUGUGCGAGCUUUGGUAUCACCCUGUGUUGAGUAAGGAAGGAGCCUUCCCUAGCAGGGUAGCUUUGGAGAUCAAGCUGGUUAAAUGCUUCUGGAAACUGUGAAGCACUCUCCAGAGGUAGCCUUUUGAGAGCAAAGAGAAAGAACAGAGGCUAGAACAAGAGCGAGGGAAAGGGACCUGGUAAAAGAGAGGCAGGAAGAAGAGAACGGCAGGAAUGGGGCCAUCAGGUGGGAUGGGGAAGACGGCCCAUCACUUGGCUCUCCCACUGGAGGUGGUCUGUGUCUCCAGUAGCAUGGGCUGAGACCACACGGGUUGUGUGCAGAUGCUAGGGAGGUGCUGGGGAUGCAGGAGUCAGGGGACACCUGUUCCAAAGAGCAAGGCCUUUAGAUCCAGCUUUUCAACCUUGGCACUCUUGACAUUUGGGGCUGGAUAUUUCUUUGGUGUGUGUGUGGUUUUCCUUUUUUUUUUUUUUUUUUUUCUCCUUUUUAGGGCCACAGGUGCAGCAUAGAGAGGUUCCCAGGCUAGGGGUUGAAUUGAGCUAUGGCUGCUGGGUUACACCAGAGCCACAGCAAUGCAGGAUCUGAGCCACAUCUGCAGCCUACACCACAGUUCAUGGCAACACUGGAUUCUUAACCAGGGAUCAAAUGAGGCCAGGGAUGGAACUCAUGUCCUCAUGGGUGCUAGUCUGGUUCGUUUCUGUUGAGCCACGAGAACACCCUUCUUUUUUUUUUUUUUUUUUUUGUCUUUACCUACUAGAUAAUCAUCACCCCUCUGUUCCCCAGUUAUGACAACCCCAAAUGUCUCCACACACUGACCAGUGCCCCCUGUGUGGGGGGGAAUCACUCCCAUGGAGCACCAGUGUUCUACACAGGUAUUUGCCAGCCUACCUACAGCCCGUUGAGGAGUGAGGCAGCUCCCAGGGUGUCGGGCGGAUCACCCCUGGCUCGGGAGACCCUGAGCCCUCUACCCAGAAGGAUGAAGCCCAUAAGGCUUUGAAAGCAAGUUGACUCUCAGCUUCUUCAGUAAAGACCCUGCCAGAAAUCAGUUCCGGGAGAUUGUUUUCCAAGUGGGGAAGGAGAGAAUGAGAAAGCUAGUAGUAAGAACCCUUGGAAUGAAAGAGGCCCUGUGUGUCUUUAGGGAGCUGUUUCUCAGCUCUAGGCACAGACGUGUGGUCAAGGGGUGAACACAGUGACCCAAAGGAACCCCGGCUGAUGUCCCCUCUGGAUGAACAAGCUUCUUGGGGUCAAUGAAGAAGAGGAGGGAAGUGGGGUCUUUUCCUACUUUGGAGUUUUCAACAACAACAGCAGAAAACCCUUGCUGUAACUGGUUUCAUUUCCUCUGUUUUCUAGGAAGUGCCUAAUUUUCUGUACUCCCCCCAAGACUGCUUUGCUAAGAAAUAACCCAUGUCAAUUCUUGAUAAAGCAGUGGAAUUCUUGAGUCUUGGGAUGGAAAGACCCAGGAGGCUUUUAGACCCAGCAUGUCUCCCAGACUGUAUAGUUUCUUGUACGCUGGUCAGAGAUGCAUUUGCAAAGAUUAUUUGAUGUUAAAAAAAGGUGUUGGGGAGUUCCCGUUGUGGCUAAGCGGUAAUGAACCUGACUAGUAUCCAUGAGAAGUUGUUUUGACCCCUGGCCUCGCUCAGUGGGUUAAGGAUCCAGUGUUGCAGUGAACUUUGGUCUAGGUUGCAAACCUGACUUGGAUCUGGUGUUGCUGUGGCUCCGGCAUAGGCUGGCGGCUACAGUCCAAUUUGACCCCUAGCCUGGGGACUUCAUAUGCUGUGGGUGCGGCCCUAAAAAGCCAAAAAAGGAAAAAAGUUGUUGAGCAGGAAAAUUACAAAGAAGAAAGUAGAUGCAACAUCCCCCGUACAUUUGCAAAAAAAAAAUUUUUUUUUUUAAAUGUGUGUAAUCCUCCAGUCUAUAGGAGGC
rnacentral:lncRNA from 1 species